AACGAACGCUGGCGGCAUGCCUAACACAUGCAAGUCGAACGAAGUCCUUAGGGGCUUAGUGGCGCACGGGUGCGUAACGCGUGGGAAUCUGCCUCUUGGUUCGGAAUAACAGUUAGAAAUGACUGCUAAUACCGGAUGAUGUCUACGGACCAAAGAUUUAUCGCCAAGAGAUGAGCCCGCGUAGGAUUAGGUAGUUGGUGGGUAAAGGCCUACCAAGCCGACGAUCCUUAGCUGGUCUGAGAGGAUGAUCAGCCACACUGGGACUGAGACACGGCCCAGACUCCUACGGGAGGCAGCAGUGGGGAAUAUUGGACAAUGGGCGAAAGCCUGAUCCAGCAAUGCCGCGUGAGUGAUGAAGGCCUUAGGGUUGUAAAGCUCUUUUACC
rnacentral:rRNA from 1 species